rfam:Triticum urartu cultivar G1812 contig1155498, whole genome shotgun sequence.
AGAGCACUCCCUCCGUUCGAAAUUACUUGUCGCAUAAAUGGAUGUAUCUAGACGUAUUUUAGUUCUAGAUACAUCCAUUUUCCAAGACAAGUAAAUCCGAACGGAGGGAGUAGAUA